GACGAGCCACACGAACGUUAUUCGGAAUUACUGGGCUUAAAGGGUGCGUAGGCGGUGCGGAAAGUUGGGUGUGAAAUCCCUCGGCUCAACCGAGGAACUGCGCCCAAAACUACCGCACUUGAGGAAGAUAGAGGUGAGCGGAACUCACGGUGGAGCGGUGAAAUGCGUUGAUAUCGUGAGGAACACCCGUGGCGAAAGCGGCUCACUGGGUCUUUUCUGACGCUGAUGCACGAAAGCUAGGGGAGCAAACGGG
rnacentral:rRNA from 1 species